CCUAAAAUAAGUAUAGUUUUGCACUGUUCAUGUCUAACGUUUGACCGUUCGUCUUAUUUGAAAAUUUUUUAUGAUUAAUAUUUUUGUUGUUAUUAGAUAAUAAAACAUGAAUAGUAUUUUAUGUGUGACUAACUUUUUUUAAUUUUCUUAUAAAUUUUUUAAAUAAGACGGACGGUCAAACGUUAGACACGAAUUUCUACGGCUGCACUUAUUUUAGG
rnacentral:pre_miRNA from 1 species